rnacentral:rRNA from 1 species
UACGUAGGGUGCAAGCGUUGUCCGGAAUUAUUGGGCGUAAAGAGCUCGUAGGCGGUUUGUCGCGUCUGCUGUGAAACCCGAGGCUCAACCUCGGGCCUGCAGUGGGUACGGGCAGACUAGAGUGGCGGUAGGGGAGAUUGGAAUUCCUGGUGUAGCGGUGGAAUGCGCAGAUAUCAGGAGGAACACCGAUGGCGAAGGCAGAUCUCUGGGCCGUAACUGACGCUGAGGAGCGAAAGCAUGGGGAGCGAACAGG